UACGUGAGGGGCGAACGUUGUUCGGUGUCACUGGGCUUAAAGGGUGCGUAGGUGGUUGCGUAAGUAAGGUGUGAAAUCCCUCGGUUUACCCGGGGAAUUGCAUUUUAUACUGCGUGGCUUGAGGACUAAAGGGGAAAAGGGAACUCCAGGUGUAGCGGUGAAAUGCGCAGAUAUCUGGGGGAAGGCCGGCGGCGAAGGCGCUUUUCUGGUUAGUACCUGACACUGAGGCACGAAAGCGUGGGGAGCAAACAGG
rnacentral:rRNA from 1 species